rnacentral:rRNA from 1 species
ACCUGGUUGAUCCUGCCAGUAGUGAUAUGCUUGUUUUAAAGACUAAGCCAUGCAAGUGAGAGUAUAAAUUGUUUUUACUGAUGAAACUGCGAACGGCUCAUUAAAUCAGUUAUAGUUUAUUUGAUGGUAUUGAAGUUUUUCUUCAACUACAUGGAUAACUGUAGUAACCUAGAGCUAAUACAUGCAUAACAAUCAAACUAUCUUGGAAUGAUUGGCACUUAUUAGAUAUCAAACCAAUAAUCUUCGGAUUAAAUAAGGUGAAUCAUAAUAACUGAACAGAUCGCAUGAUUUUAUAUCGGCGACGUUUCAUUCAAAUUUCUGCCCUAUCAACUAGAUGUUAGUAUAUAGGACUAACAUGGUUUUAACGGGUGACGGGGAAUUGGGGUUCGAUUCCGGAGAAGGAGCAUGAGAAACGGCUACUACUUCUAAGGAAAGCAGCAGGCGCGCAAAUUAUUCAAUGGAAACAAAUUUCCGAAAUAGUGACAAAAAAUAACAAUACAUUGCAUUAAAUGUGAUGUAAUUGGAAUGAGUACAAUUUAAAAACCUUAACGAGUAACAAUUAGAGGGCAAGUCUGGUGCCAGCAGCCGCGGUAAUUCCAGCUCUAAUAGCGUAUAUUAAUGUUGUUGCAGUUAAAAAGCUCGUAGUUGAAUCUUGAAUGUUCAUCAAGUUUGGUUUACAUUUUUAUGUAUAACUACUUGAUUGCAUUCUUCCUACUAGUAAUUCGAUACUGUACUUAAUUGUAUGGUAUAGUGGUUCUUCGGGAUCAUCGUUAUAGUGGAGUUGCUCCUCAAAUAAUUGGAUUGGUGUAAAAGUCAUGAAGAUUAUUUAGGGGAAUCAGUAAAUCUAUUAUAAUGGAAUUCUAGUUCAUUUACUUUGAGAAAAUUAGAGUGUUUAAGGCAGCCUCUUGGGGCACUGAAUAUAUUAGCAUGGGAUAAUAAAAUAGGAUUCAUAUCAUAAAUUUGUUGGUUUGAAUGAUGUAAAUAAUGAUUAAUAGGGACAGUUGGGGGUAUUUAUAUUGGAUGGUUAGCGGUGAAAUGCAUGGAUCCAUUCAAGAUAAACUAAAGCGAAAGCAUUUACCAAGGAUGUUUUCAUUAAUCAAGAACGAAGGUUAAGGGAUCGAAGAUGAUUAGAUACCGUCGUAGUCUUAACAGUAAACUAUGCCGACUAGGGAUAUGAGAUGUUAUAAAACAUGCAAAUGUUUUAACUUCUUCUUGUGAACCUUGUGAGAAAUCAUAAGUUUUUGGGUUCUGGGGGGAGUAUGGUCGCAAGGCUGAAACUUAAAGGAAUUGACGGAGGGGCACCACCAGGGAGUGGAGCGUGCGGCUUAAUGGGACUCAACACGGGGAAAACUUACCAGGUCCAGGACAUUGAGGAAGGAUUGACAGGAUUGACAGCUCUUUCAUGGAUUUGAAUGGGUGGUGGUGCAUGGCCGUUCUUAGUUGGUGGAGUGAUUUGUCUGGUUAAUUCCGAUAACGAACGAGACCUUUGACCAUACUAAAUAGUAUAAUUUAUCAUUUUUGAUAGAUGUUAAUACUUCUUAGAGGGACUAUUGAUUUUUAAAAUCAAAGGAAGUAAAGGCGGAUACAGGUCUGUGAUGCCCUUAGAUGUUCUGGGCUGCACGCGCGCUACAAUGAUAAACUCAACGAGUAUAUAAAUUUAUUAUUGCUUAUCCGAAAGGAUUGGCUAAUCUUAAACGUUUAUCGUGCUUGGGAUAGAUGCUUGCAAUUAUUUAUCUUGAACCAGGAAUUCCUAGUAAUCGUAUAUCAUCAGUGUGCGAUGAUUACAUCCCUGCCCCUUGUACACACCGCCCGUCGCUGCUACCGAUUGGAUGAUCCGGUGAAAUCUUCGGAUAGCGAGAAAUACUUUACUUUGUAAAGUUUCUUGUUAAAAGUUGAUUAAACCUUAUCAUCUAGAGGAAGCAAAAGUCGUAACAAGGUUUCCGUAGGUGAACCAGCGGAAG